rfam:Salmo salar isolate Sally breed double haploid chromosome ssa03, whole genome shotgun sequence.
UUCAUUCACUACUGUAAGUCGCUCUGGAUAAGAGCUUCUGCUAAAUGAGUAAAA